UCCGCUGGAAGAUUUCCUGGCCUUGUGAGGCAUGGAACCAUAGAGGAGGUGCACUUGAGGCUCAAGGUGAGUGUACAUGGCAACAGUUGCUUCUGCUAGCUUGUGGCUUUUUUUCCCUCAGUACUGUGGAGUAUAAAAAAGCUAUGCAAAAUCAACUUGGAGCCGCUUCAGUAUUUACUGUCAGCCCUCCCCAAUCUCUCUCCCUCUUCUUUCUGCCUCUCCUAUCUUUAGUCCUUGCUCCCCUCUCAGGUACUGUUUGACUUGUGUCAGCCAACUCCAGCACAGUCCUCCCUAGAAGACUGAGUCCCAGUCAGGUUUCUAUUGCUGUGAUAAUGACCAUGAUCUUGCUCUUCUUGCUUGUUCAAACUGCCUUCUUGUAUCCUCAGGACCACCCGCUCAGAGGUGGCGGAGCUGAUGCCCCGCACCCAACACACAUCAAUCUUCUGUCAAGAAAAUGCUUCCAUUGGCAUGCACAGGACCUGUGCGUGCUGUCAUAACCACAACAGGCUCCUAUGUGCAGCUGCCCAGUUGUAUCUGGGGACGACUGUUUCCUUGUAUUCAUCCACUGGCCUCCGGUUCUCACAGCUCCCCAAAGCCUCUUCUGCAGUGAUCUGUGCACCUUGGGAAGAGAGUGUAGAGUGUAGACCAUUCAUCCGGGGCCGAGCAUCCAGCGCCCUUGCUCUCUGCACGUGGCCAGCCUGCUCAUCGCUGUCACUGCAUACUUUUCUGAUGAAGGUUGAGGGAUC
rnacentral:lncRNA from 1 species